rnacentral:lncRNA from 1 species
UUAAUCCUGCCGCCAUUUUCAUUUCUGUUACGCACUUUAUUCAACCCUCCGAUUGGAGCAGGUUUUAUUGCUUUACCUUUGUCUACUUUACUUUCCCGCACUGUCUUUACUUUAUUUAUUUCUCGCACUCGCACUACUUUCAUUUAUUUCUCGCACUCACACUACUUUCCUUUAUUUCUCGCACUCGCACUACUUUCGUUUAUUUCUCCCACUCGCACUUUACUUUGUUUAUUUCUCGCACCGCACUACUUUUAUUU